rnacentral:rRNA from 1 species
CCGGUAAACGGCGGCCGUAACUAUAACGGUCCUAAGGUAGCGAAAUUCCUUGUCGGGUAAGUUCCGACCUGCACGAAUGGCGUAAUGAUGGCCAGGCUGUCUCCACCCGAGACUCAGUGAAAUUGAACUCGCUGUGAAGAUGCAGUGUACCCGCGGCAAGACGGAAAGACCCCGUGAACCUUUACUAUAGCUUGACACUGAACAUUGAGCCUUGAUGUGUAGGAUAGGUGGGAGGCUUAGAAGUGUGGACGCCAGUCUGCAUGGAGCCGACCUUGAAAUACCACCCUUUAAUGUUUGAUGUUCUAACGUUGACCCGUAAUCCGGGUUGCGGACAGUGUCUGGUGGGUAGUUUGACUGGGGCGGUCUCCUCCUAAAGAGUAACGGAGGAGCACGAAGGUUGGCUAAUCCUGGUCGGACAUCAGGAGGUUAGUGCAAUGGCAUAAGCCAGCUUGACUGCGAGCGUGACGGCGCGAGCAGGUGCGAAAGCAGGUCAUAGUGAUCCGGUGGUUCUGAAUGGAAGGGCCAUCGCUCAACGGAUAAAAGGUACUCCGGGGAUAACAGGCUGAUACCGCCCAAGAGUUCAUAUCGACGGCGGUGUUUGGCACCUCGAUGUCGGCUCAUCACAUCCUGGGGCUGAAGUAGGUCCCAAGGGUAUGGCUGUUCGCCAUUUAAAGUGGUACGCGAGCUGGGUUUAGAACGUCGUGAGACAGUUCGGUCCCUAUCUGCCGUGGGCGCUGGAGAACUGAGGGGGGCUGCUCCUAGUACGAGAGGACCGGAGUGGACGCAUCACUGGUGUUCGGGUUGUCAUGCCAAUGGCACUGCCCGGUAGCUAAAUGCGGAAGAGAUAAGUGCUGAAAGCAUCUAAGCACGAAACUUGCCCCGAGAUGAGUUCUCCCUGACUCCUUGAGAGUCCUGAAGGAACGUUGAAGACGACGACGUUGAUAGGCCGGGUGUGUAAGCGCAGCGAUGCGUUGAGCUAACCGGUACUAAUGAACCGUGAGGCUUAACCUUACAACGCCGAAGGUGUUU